CAGGAGCGCUAACUUCUACCACAGAGGCAAAAGGCUACACCAGUGCCACGGCAUUCAGCGAGGCUUUGACAACAGCACGGGAUACUGCGUGUUGCUCCACUCAUCCCCACAUCCCUGCCACUGCUUCCCUACACCUGUGCUUGCCUGAACACCAACUAAGAGAUAAUGGCCUUGAAGGGUCCUCGGUCCAGCAGCUGUAAUUGAGGGCAGUUUCAGAGCACACAGGCACCAGUGAGUCUGCUGAGGCAUACACAUGAAUCCCUGUGCCCUCCCUGGGCUCCUACAACAGUGAUUACUAUUAUCAUUGUGGUCUGGGAUGCUCUAACAUAAGCCAUUAUGUAAAUAGGAAUAAAUAAUGCUCAUCAAUGUGAUGUAUACAGCACAGUCCUAUCGGAUUUCUAAGUGUAUAUCCUUUUUUUUUUUUUGCAUAUGACUUUGUAAAAUGCAUAGCAUUUUACAAAUGUGAGAUGUGUCAUACCUCUUCACUUAAAAUCAAACAUCUAAUAAGCAAGUAGAAAAGAACUAACAUCCAAAAAUCUCAGUUUUUAGAGUGCCCUAAAACUACAUAUUUUUAAUGCACACACACACACACACACACACACACACACACUCUUGAACUCUCAAUUUCAGUCAAAGCCAGCAAGCAUCUCACAAUAAAGAGAAUUUCUUGGUUCUGUGUGGUUAGUCAUUUACAUAAUUUAAAGCUAGGUUUUUGUCUUGGAUUUAUGAAUCAGCAGUUAUAUCAGAGACUGUCAGGUUCCUCUGUUGUUUCAUUUGUUGUGUGCAUCAGAAAAAGUCAGAGUCCAAAACAGCCACAGCAGAGCCUAAUGAAGUAAUCGUGUACAGUUUUGUAAGACAAUUGAAGGUCAUUAUUUCUUUUUAUACAAAUUUGAAUAAUUUCACCACUGGAUCCCCAUAUCAGAAGUGCCAUGGGAGCUCUGGAAAUGCUGUGCCAUUGUCUAGGUAACCUGUCCUACAGCAUCACAGAUCAGACAAUUUCAGUUACCAGAGGAAAAGAUUUCUUUCCUACCAGCAGCCUGCUGAACACUACUGGUGACAGGAGGAACGCCAAAGCCAGUGGCUUCCCCUGGCCAACAGUGGCAGCUGUCCUGCUCCUCCUCUGCAGCACUCUGGUAGCUUUAGGCAUCAGGAAAUCGUGUCAGUACCAGAAAGAGAUUAUGAACAGACGUCCAUCUUUUAAGCCACCGCCACCUCCAAUAAAGCACACCUCCAUGGUAGAGUCUGAUGGGACUCCCCCAUCCUGCCACGAACUAGAAAGCCUGUAACACCACCUGCACCCCUUGUGUAGCACACAGAAGACUAGCACAGUUAAAAGGCUCUGCCUUUGGAACAGUGGUUACAGGAGCUUGGUGGUAAUGACACAUUAAAAAUCAGAGCUCCUACAUGACAUUAAUUUUGGAAGCUGAGCACUUCUUGGGAGACUCCUUUCAUCCUGUGUAUCUCUAUGUAUGCACUACAUUCGUAGUAAGUGUCGCUGUGAGAUUACACAUGCUUAAUUUGAAUUGGGUGAUGAACUAGGAAUUUGCUAUCUUGUCCAUGGUAGCAGAUUAACACAUGAGUCUGCCAGCCUGACUGAAGAGUGUUGAAGCUUGUCCAUCUAUUCAAUGUAUACAGAUGACAACUCUGCUGUAUGAACAUCACAGGUACACAGCAAACAGUGGCUGAACACAAGAUUUUGAGACCUACACGAGCUGUUAUUGCAAUUAUUUAUUUUUUAUUGUGGACUAAUAUAACCCAACAUGUAAUUUUCUAUCACUGUGAAACCAAAAGAAAGAAUCAGCACCAUACACAGACAGAAAAUACCCUGCAUCUCUUGGCACAGGAUUGCAGCACUGGAUCAUAGAGGGAGGUUGGUGAGAUGAAAGAUCACCAGCCCCACUGCAAGUGUAUGCAGAGAAGUCCCAGCUGUCAUUGGUGAAGUCACAAGAAAGUCAAUUUUGGUCCAGAGUCUUAAGGACUGAAGCAAGCCUAGAGUUAAUGGAAAAUUCUAGUCCUUUUGGAAGCGCUAUGCCUUUGAAAUAAUACUUACUUUUAAGUCUGCUUUUCAGAAAUUAUAUUUACAGUAUAUGUGAAGGAAAGAAAUGUACUACUUUUAUUUUUCUUUGGUCUUAAUGAGCUUUCAUCACAUACUAUCUUCACAUUUUCCAAGACCUCAGGGGCAGUUUCCCAGGUGAACUUAAGCGUAAACUUAAGCCACAGGCUUAGGCCUGUGAAAGAGAUGAUCCAGUCUUCCCCCUGUCCUGCCCAAGCUACAGAUUUCCUCAUAUUGACACUAAUGAAUAAAUGACGGUGCAGUGGGUGGGCUUGGCUUGGC
ensembl:lncRNA